rnacentral:tRNA from 1 species
GCCCUAGUAGCUCAGUACCAGAGCGCCGGUCUUGUAAUCCGGAUGUCGGAGGUUAAAAUCCCCCCUUGUGCU